rnacentral:lncRNA from 1 species
GUUUGGCUGUUUUUAUCGACCCCCCACCCACGUGAUUUCCUGUAAAUAUCACGCGUAAAAGCGAAACAGAAAGUAGACAGUUGGAAAUCCCCAUUUUGUGAACAGACGCACUGACACAAGCCGGUGCUGAAGUGUGUGACGUCAAUCAAAAAUGGCUUCGAAUAAUAAACAAAAACUGCAGAGACCAGAGUCACCAGAUUCCAGCAGUGAGUCGGAGGAGAGUGUUUUGUCACGAUUAACUCGUCUGGGAUUCUACCAUGAAUCCUACGAUCAACUAUGCUUCUUGCCGUUGCGAGAAGUCCUUCGACCCUCUCUACCGUCGGCUGUUUCCCUGAGGAGUGACAAUUCCAAAGGCAUGCCCCCAGACUUCAGAGAACCAGGCCCAUACUCACCAUUGGCUGUUUCCCUGAAGAGUGACUAUUCUAAAGGCAUGCCCCCAGACUUCAGAGAACCAGGCCCACACUCAAGCCCAUGUGUGUCUUUCUGCCCUCACUUGUCCACCAACCAAAUCCUCUGGUUUCUGUGCAUUCUGACCAAUGCUCCAUGGUGGUAGUCAGGGGCGAGGCUAGGCCUAUUUUAGGGGUACUCAAGCACCCCUAAAAUUAAUUCAAGCACCCCUAAAAAUGCCAGGCCAAAAAUAUAAUAACAGAAAUAAAGUCCACACUAAAACGUAUUAUGUACUUCUAUAAUAUAUUUCUGGGUUGAUUUAUUAAAAUAUGUGUAUUUAAAGAAAUAAAGCAUAAACACCCCUCUUCACUAAAUGAUUUGGUCUGAUGUCUCGUUGCUGUAGCUCCGCCCCCUCUCCUCACAGCGCUGUCGCCUCAGACUCUCUCUCUCUGCUCUGUCUCUCCGUGGAGUUUAAACUUUGGUGCUGGU